rnacentral:rRNA from 1 species
UACGUAGGGGGCAAGCGUUGUCCGGAUUUACUGGGCGUAAAGAGCGUGUAGGCGGCCACGCAGGUCCGUUGUGAAAACUGGAGGCUCAACCUUCAGACGUCGACGGAAACCGUGUGGCUAGAGUCCGGAAGAGGAGAGUGGAAUUCCUGGUGUAGCGGUGAAAUGCGUAGAUAUCAGGAGGAACACCAAUUGCGAAGGCAGCUCGCUGGGACGUUACUGACGCUGAGACGCGAAAGCGUGGGGAGCAAACAGG